GGCUCAGGAUGAACGCUGGCGGCGUGCUUAACACAUGCAAGUCGAACGAUGAAGCCCAGCUUGCUGGGUGGAUUAGUGGCGAACGGGUGAGUAACACGUGAGCAACCUGCCCCUGACUCUGGGAUAACAGCCGGAAACGGUUGCUAAUACCGGAUAUGCAUCAUGGCCGCAUGGUCUGUGAUGGGAAAGAUUUUUCGGUUGGGGAUGGGCUCGCGGCCUAUCAGCUUGUUGGUGAGGUAGUGGCUCACCAAGGCGUCGACGGGUAGCCGGCCUGAGAGGGUGACCGGCCACACUGGGACUGAGACACGGCCCAGACUCCUACGGGAGGCAGCAGUGGGGAAUAUUGCACAAUGGGCGGAAGCCUGAUGCAGCAACGCCGCGUGAGGGACGACGGCCUUCGGGUUGUAAACCU
rnacentral:rRNA from 1 species